rnacentral:rRNA from 1 species
AACCGUAUAGGGGAGCCGUAGGGAAACCGAGUCUUAACUGGGCGACUAGUUGCAAGGUAUAGACCCGAAACCCGGUGAUCUAGCCAUGGGCAGGUUGAAGGUUGGGUAACACUAACUGGAGGACCGAACCGACUAAUGUUGAAAAAUUAGCGGAUGACUUGUGGCUGGGGGUGAAAGGCCAAUCAAACCGGGAGAUAGCUGGUUCUCCCCGAAAGCUAUUUAGGUAGCGCCUCGUGAACUCAUCUUCGGGGGUAGAGCACUGUUUCGGCUAGGGGGCCAUCCCGGCUUACCAAACCGAUGCAAACUCCGAAUACCGAAGAAUGUUAUCACGGGAGACACACGGCGGGUGCUAACGUCCGUCGUGAAGAGGGAAACAACCCAGACCGCCAGCUAAGGUCCCAAAGUCAUGGUUAAGUGGGAAACGAUGUGGGAAGGCAUAGACAGCCAGGAUGUUGGCUUAGAAGCAGCCAUCAUUUAAAGAAAGCGUAAUAGCUCACUGGUCGAGUCGGCCUGCGCGGAAGAUGUAACGGGGCUAAACCAUGCACCGAAGCUGCGGCAGCGACGCUUAGGCGUUGUUGGGUAGGGGAGCGUUCUGUAAGCCGUUGAAGGUGGCCUGUGAGGGUUGCUGGAGGUAUCAGAAGUGCGAAUGCUGACAUAAGUAACGAUAAAGCGGGUGAAAAGCCCGCUCGCCGGAAGACCAAGGGUUCCUGUCCAACGUUAAUCGGGGCAGGGUGAGUCGACCCCUAAGGCGAGGCUGAAAAGCGUAGUCGAUGGGAAACAGGUUAAUAUUCCUGUACUUGGUGUUACUGCGAAGGGGGGACGGAGAAGGCUAGGCUAGCCGGGCGACGGUUGUCCCGGUUUAAGCGUGUAGGGGGUGUGACCUGGUAAAUCCGGUUGCAUGUUAACCCUGAGGCGUGAUGACGAUGCACUACGGUGCAGAAGUAGUUGAUGCCCUGCUUCCAGGAAAAUCCUCUAAGCUCCAGGUAACAUUAAAUCGUACCCCAAACCGACACAGGUGGUCAGGUAGAGAAUACCAAGGCGCUUGAGAGAACUCGGGUGAAGGAACUAGGCAAAAUGGUGCCGUAACUUCGGGAGAAGGCACGCUGGCAUGUAGGUGAAGUCCCUCGCGGAUGGAGCUGAAGCCAGUCGAAGAUACCAGCUGGCUGCAACUGUUUAAUAAAAACACAGCACUGUGCAAACACGAAAGUGGACGUAUACGGUGUGACGCCUGCCCGGUGCUGGAAGGUUAAUUGAUGGGGUCAGCCGCAAGGCGAAGCUCUUGAUCGAAGCCCCAGUAAACGGCGGCCGUAACUAUAACGGUCCUAAGGUAGCGAAAUUCCUUGUCGGGUAAGUUCCGACCUGCACGAAUGGCGUAAUGAUGGCCAGGCUGUCUCCACCCGAGACUCAGUGAAAUUGAACUCGCUGUGAAGAUGCAGUGUACCCGCGGCAAGACGGAAAGACCCCGUGAACCUUUACUAUAGCUUGACACUGAACAUUGAGCCUUGAUGUGUAGGAUAGGUGGGAGGCUUUGAAGCGUGGACGCCAGUCUGCGUGGAGCCAUCCUUGAAAUACCACCCUUUAAUGU